rnacentral:tRNA from 1 species
GACACUGUGGCAGAAAGGCUAUGCAGUUGGUUGCAACCCAAUUGAUGCAGGUUCGAUUCCUGCCGGUGUCUCCA